CAGUGCAGUGAUGUCAGUGUUUAAAAUAAACGUUGUCCCGUCAUUCUCAGAUAAAACGUUGAUCCUGUUUCAGACGGCUCCAUUUCUCUAGAGACGUUGCAGAGGCAGCAUGUUAUGAAAGGAAGAUUAUUGGACCAAAGCAGAGCAACACAUGGUUCCAGGUUGAGGUCAGGAUGGGGAACACCUCACCCAGGGUUCUGGUCUCACUCUUGCUGAACACACUGCUCUGCUGUGGACAAACUCUUGAUCCUGUGCUGACUGUUGAACCCAACUGGUUGAAUUUUUAUGUUGGAGAGAUUGUUACAUUUAUCUGUGACAUGAAUGUAGGAAGAGACACUGACUGGAAAUACCGGCUUUAAAGGAAUGGUCAAGAAUUUGUUCCCUAUCAGUCAGAUAAACGUUUCAGUUUUCAACGUAUAUCUACUAGUUAUAGACAUGAAUUUCAGUGCUGUGUAUGCUGGAAGGGUUCAUCUGACAAUAAGUGCAGUAAAACUGUCACUGUUACUGUCUCAGACAGACCCAUGGCCACAUUGACAGCAGGUUCAACAACCAUACCAGUAGGGGGCAGUGUGAUACUGAGCUGCUCAGUGGAGCCCUCUGCUGGAUGGAAGUACAGAUGGUUCAGACGGACCUCAGUCACUUCUUUUGUUGAAUUCA